rnacentral:rRNA from 1 species
GUGCCAGCCGCCGCGGUAAGACAGAGGGUGCAAACGUUGCUCGGAAUUACUGGGCGUAAAGCGCGUGUAGGCGGCUCCGUAAGUCGGGUGUGAAAUCCCUCGGCUCAACUGAGGAAGUGCACUCGAUACUGCAGAGCUAGAGUACCGGAGAGGGUGGUGGAAUUCCUGGUGUAGAGGUGAAAUUCGUAGAUAUCAGGAGGAACACCGGCGGCGAAGGCGGCCACCUGGACGGAUACUGACGCUCAGACGCGAAAGCGUGGGUAGCAAACAGGAUUAGAUACCCUGGUAGUCC